AUUGAACGCUGGCGGCAUGCCUUACACAUGCAAGUCGAACGGCAGCGCGGACUUCGGUCUGGCGGCGAGUGGCGAACGGGUGAGUAAUACAUCGGAACGUACCCUGUUGUGGGGGAUAACUAGUCGAAAGAUUAGCUAAUACCGCAUACGACCUGAGGGUGAAAGUGGGGGACCGCAAGGCCUCACGCAGCAGGAGCGGCCGAUGUCUGAUUAGCUAGUUGGUGGGGUAAAGGCCCACCAAGGCGACGAUCAGUAGCUGGUCUGAGAGGACGAUCAGCCACACUGGGACUGAGACACGGCCCAGACUCCUACGGGAGGCAGCAGUGGGGAAUUUCGGACAAUGGGGGCAACCCUGACCCAGCAAUGCCGCGUGUGUGAAGAAGGCCUUCGGGUUAUAAAGCACUUUUGUCCGGAAAGAAAUCGCGCUGGUUAAUACCUGGCGUGGAUGACGGUACCGGAAGAAUAAGCACCGGCUAACUACGUGCCAGCCGCCGCGGUAA
rnacentral:rRNA from 1 species